rnacentral:rRNA from 1 species
GAUGAACGCUAGCUACAGGCUUAACACAUGCAAGUCGAGGGGAAACGACAUUGGAAGCUUGCUUCCUUUGGGCGUCGACCGGCGCACGGGUGAGUAACGCGUAUCCAACCUUCCCGCAAGUAAGGGAUAACCCGUAGAAAUGGCUGCUAAUACCCCAUAAGACCACAGCACCGCAUGGUGCAGGGGUAAAAACUCCGGUGGUAUGAGAUGGACCCGCGUCUGAUUAGGUAGUUGGUGGGGUAACGGCCUACCAAGCCGACGAUCAGUAGCCGACCUGAGAGGGUGACCGGCCACAUUGGGACUGAGACACGGCCCAA